GACAGAGGUCCCGAGCGUUGUUCGGAUUCAUUGGGCGUAAAGCGCGUGUAGGCGGUCCGGUAAGUCCGCUGUGAAAGUCGGGGGCUCAACCCUCGGAUGCCGGUGGAUACUGUCGGGCUUGAGUACGGAAGAGGCGAGUGGAAUUCCUGGUGUAGCGGUGAAAUGCGCAGAUAUCAGGAGGAACACCAAUUGCGAAGGCAGCUCGCUGGGACGUUACUGACGCUGAGACGCGAAAGCGUGGGGAGCAAACAGG
rnacentral:rRNA from 1 species